rnacentral:rRNA from 1 species
CGUCAAGUCCUCAUGGCCUUUAUGCCCAGGGCUACACACGUGCUACAAUGGCCGGUACAAAGGGAAGCGAACGCGCGAGCGGGAGCCAACCCCAAAAAGCCGGUCUCAGUUCAGAUCGGAGUCUGCAACUCGACUCCGUGAAGGCGGAAUCGCUAGUAAUCGCUGAUCAGCAGGCAGCGGUGAAUACGUUCCCGGGCCUU